UAUAUGACAGAAAUAUAAAACAUAUAAAAUUAUUUGUGAUUUCAAUAAAAUCAUGGGUCCCAAGUUGUUACCCCACAUCAAUAAAAUAUACUCUCGUAAUCCUCCCCUUUCUAUCCUCACUCCGCUCCAAUCUCUCGUCUCCCAGUUCUCCGCUCUUCCCACAUUCGAUCACCGGUCACCGAUAUCCGAUCUCCGACAUACAACAAGAUCUUGUUUUCUCUUAACGUCAGUGCAUGAAAGUUGAUUUUUUUCCCUUCAUUUUCAUGAAAAAUAUUGUCUGUUGUGAAUUUUAAUGGGUAUUAUGCAGCUUUUAUUCUUAUUUGUGAGUUAAUAAUUUGUGAAUUUUAAUGGGUAUUAUCCAGGUUCAUCGUUUGCUUGAUGCGGUGGCGCGUGACAGUGUGAGCUCGUGCAGCGGUCCCUGGAGCAGUGGAGUGUGAGAUGUAAAGUGUUGGAGUACUGGAUUGAGAGCAGCGGGGCCUCCCUUUCUUUCGAAGUUGUAAUGUUAAUUGUUAGAAUUAAAAGGCCAGAGGCAAGAAAAUAAUUUUUUUCAUAUAUUACCGUCUAUUCUACAAUAAUAUAAAUAUACAAGUUAUUGAAACAAUUACAAAGAGAAAGUUAAAGAAAAAAUAAAUGAAGAAAAAUAUUUGGUAUAAAAAAAGAUGAGAGAAAGAUGAGAAAAAUAAAGAAGAAAAUAAAAGAGAGAGA
rnacentral:lncRNA from 1 species